GGGGGGUAAUGAAUCUUGAAUUCAUGUAACUAUAUGUUCAAAAAUGAAAGCACUAUUAAAAUGUUUCUGAGUUUCAAGGUAAUACAGAAGGUAAGCAAGUAGAUAUUUCCAGUGCCCCAAGGGAACACGUCUGAGAACUCUACAGAAUUCUAAAGCAGAGGAAAACCAGCAAUGAUGGUGUCGUGAGGAACAUGUGGCAGAGCUGCCGUCUUCCCUGGGCCCCCAGGGGCACAGCGUUAACAAGUAUGAAAAACAGCUUCGGUCUGGUAAUCUGAAAAGGGAGAUCUUCCAGCUGAAAUAAAGACUUCAAAAAGUCCGGUAGUUGAAGGCAGUUCUGAAUGGAGAUCUCAUAAUUCCCAAGGAAGUUUUGUUCAUGGAGGACGCUGAAAUGGAAACUGUCAAGGAA
rnacentral:lncRNA from 1 species